UUGAUGCCUUAAUCUUAUAUGAUUAAUAGAAUCCUUUGUAUAUAAAUAUCAAGAAACAGUUUGCUCCAGCUCAGAGCUAGUUUUCUUUUCUUUUCAACAAAUUAAACCAGCCUCAUGACCAGUGGGAGUGAAGCACUUGACAUCCUACAAUGCUGGUGAUUCUUAAUUUAUGCCCUGAGGGACUAAUACUGAGAAUAUGUUCAGGGUACCAUAGCAACUGCAGAAUCAAAGCAAUGAUCUCAUAUGGCAAGUUUGUAGCUGAGAGAACACUUCAGGAUUCUGUGGGAUCACCUGGGGCAGCACUAUUCCAAGUGUUCAUGGUGUGGCAUCUUGAUAAGGGACACCUAAUUGGUGUUAAUUUAUCCAAAUUAAAGACAACUUUAAAGCAUCUCUUUCCAUAGAGAAGAAUGGUCUCAUAAAAAUGUGUAACAAAAUGGCUACAAAUAAAUGGAGAAGCACAUCAUCCAACCUGGUGGAGAAUGAAGGCUCCUCAUGUGAAGAAUGUCAGAGAACACUACCUGCUUUAAAAGACACCAGUAUAUAAAACAGAAGUGGCUAUCAUUGUUUCCAAAUCAUAUAAACAAGUGAACAGAUAAGUAAACUUACUUACA